AGCAGCCGCGGUAAUUCCAGCUCCAAUAGCGUAUAUUAAAGUUGUUGCAGUUAAAAAGCUCGUAGUUGAAUUUCGGGGUUAGUAGAUUGGUCAUGCCUCUGGUAUGCACUGGUCUCACUGAUUCCUCCUUCCUGAUGAGCCGUAAUGCCAUUAAUUUGGUGUUGCGGGGAAUUUGGACUGUUACUUUGAAAAAAUUAGAGUGUUUAAAGCAAGCUAACGCUUGAAUACAUUAGCAUGGAAUAAUGAAAUAGGACGUUCGAUCCUAUUUUGUUGGUUUCUAGGAUUGACGUAAUGAUUAAUAGGGAUAGUUGGGGGCAUUAGUAUUCAAUUGUCAGAGGUGAAAUUCUUGGAUUUAUUGAAGACUAACUACUGCGAAAGCAUUUGCCAAGGAUGUUUUCAUUAAUCAAGAACGAAAGUUAGGGGAUCGAAGACGAUCAGAUACCGUCGUAG
rnacentral:rRNA from 1 species